rnacentral:rRNA from 3 species
AGCGAACGCUGGCGGCAGGCUUAACACAUGCAAGUCGAGCGGGCGUAGCAAUACGUCAGCGGCAGACGGGUGAGUAACGCGUGGGAACGUACCUUUUGGUUCGGAACAACACAGGGAAACUUGUGCUAAUACCGGAUAAGCCCUUACGGGGAAAGAUUUAUCGCCGAAAGAUCGGCCCGCGUCUGAUUAGCUAGUUGGUGAGGUAACGGCUCACCAAGGCGACGAUCAGUAGCUGGUCUGAGAGGAUGAUCAGCCACAUUGGGACUGAGACACGGCCCAAACUCCUACGGGAGGCAGCAGUGGGGAAUAUUGGACAAUGGGCGCAAGCCUGAUCCAGCCAUGCCGCGUGAGUGAUGAAGGCCCUAGGGUUGUAAAGCUCUUUUGUGCGGGAAGAUAAUGACGGUACCGCAAGAAU